AGAGUUGAUCCUGGCUCAGGAUGAACGCUGGCGGCGUGCUUACACAUGCAAGUCGAACGGAGUUAUCUCGCUGAGGAGAGCUUGCUCAAAUCUUGAGAUAACUUAGUGGCGGACGGGUGAGUAACGCGUGGAUAACCUGCCUUAUACCGGGGGAUAACACUUAGAAAUAGGUGCUAAUACCGCAUAAGCGCACGUUCCCGCAUGGGAAAGUGUGAAAAACUCCGGUGGUAUAAGAUGGAUCCGCGUCUGAUUAGAUAGUUGGUGAGGUAACGGCCCACCAAGUCAACGAUCAGUAGCCGGCCUGAGAGGGUGAACGGCCACAUUGGGACUGAGACACGGCCCAAACUCCUACGGGAGGCAGCAGUGGGGAAUAUUGCACAAUGGGGGAAACCCUGAUGCAGCCGACGCCGCGUGAGUGAAGAAGUAUUUCGGUAUGUAAAGCUCUAUCAGCAAGGAAGAAACAAAUGACGGUACUUGACUAAGAAGCCCCGGCUAACUACGUGCCAGCAGCAGC
rnacentral:rRNA from 1 species